rnacentral:rRNA from 1 species
GACGAACGCUGGCGGCGUGCCUAAUACAUGCAAGUAGAACGCACAGUUUAUACCGUAGCUUGCUACACCAUAGACUGUGAGUUGCGAACGGGUGAGUAACGCGUAGGUAACCUGCCUGGUAGCGGGGGAUAACUAUUGGAAACGAUAGCUAAUACCGCAUAAUAUUAAUUAUUUCAUGAUAAUUAAUUGAAAGGUGCAAUUGCACCACUACCAGAUGGACCUGCGUUGUAUUAGCUAGUAGGUGAGGUAACGGCUCACCUAGGCGGCGAUACAUAGCCGACCUGGGAGGGGGAUCGGCCACACUGGGACUGAGACACGGCCCAGACUCCUUCGGGAGGCAGCAGUAGGGAAUCUUCGGCAAUGGACGAAAGUCUGACCGAGCAACGCCGCGUGAGUGAAGAAGGUUUUCGGAUCGUAAAGCUCUGUUGUAAGAGAAGAACGGGUGUGAGAGUGGAAAGUUCACACUGUGACGGUAUCUUACCAGAAAGGGACGGCUAACUACGUG